AUUGAACGCUGGCGGAAUGCUUUACACGUGCAAGUCGAACGGCAGCACGGACUUCGGUCUGGUGGCGAGUGGCGAACGGGUGAGUAAUGUAUCGGAACGUGCCCAGUCGUGGGGGAUAACGUAGUGAAAAUUACGCUAAUACCGCAUACGAUCUAUGGAUGAAAGCGGGGGAUCGCAAGACCUCGCGCGAUUGGAGCGGCCGAUAUCAGAUUAGGUAGUUGGUGGGGUAAAGGCCCACCAAGCCAACGAUCUGUAGCUGGUCUGAGAGGACGCCCAGCCACACUGGAACUGAGACACGGUCCAGACUCCUACGGGAGGCAGCAGUGGGGAAUUUUGGACAAUGGGCGAAAGCCUGAUCCAGCCAUUCCGCGUGCAGGAUGAAGGCCCUCGGAUUGUAAACUGCUUUUGUACAGAACGAAAGGGUUUCUACUAAUACUAGGAGCUCAUGACGGUACUGUAAGAAUAAGCACCGGCUAACUACGUGCCAGCAGCCGCAGUAA
rnacentral:rRNA from 1 species